rnacentral:lncRNA from 1 species
UUAUUAUUAAUUUUUUUGCUCAUAUCAAAACAUAUAUUUCUUGUUUUAAUACUUAAUUUUUUUAUUUAGUUUCUAUUCAUGUAAUUUAUUUAAUUUAUAAUAAAUGUAAAUAAAAGAGUAGUUAAAAAUAAGGGUAAUAUUGUAAACUUAUGUUGUAAGGGGGAUUUUUGGCCAUUUAAAAACAGAAAGAGGGUAAAUGGUAUAUAUUAAUUACUGUAGGGGAGAAAGUGACAAUCUCCCUUAAUUUUAUUUACAUUCUGAUAUUAUAUAGUGUGUAUGUUUUAUGUUCUAAUUUCAUUAUAUGGUAAGCAAAGUUUUGUACAGGGCCUAAUAUGGGCAUUACAUUCAAUUAUUGAUCAAAAAUUAGCCGCCAUCUAGCAUAUCGGACCCAGUCCAAGCCGAGUUAUUAUUGAUCACAAGUAGAGUCUCCUGCUCUUGCUCUUUUUAUGAUGAUCCUUCCAUGUGGGAGGAAUUAUUUUUGUAAAUAAGAAAAAAAUUUAUGUUAUUUACAACAAUAUUUAUUUAAUUUAAAUUUAUUUUUACUGUUAUUUUCAUUUUCUAACUGUUGACAAUUGAUCACGCCGUAAAAAAUUUAAUGGUGGCCUUUCACUUAUUUGUGUUCAUUUAUUUUGUUUUCAUUUAUUUCAUUUGAAAAUUUUGAGUGUUGGGAUUUUGUCCAUGACCCAUGGGUAAACCAUACCCAACCCAUAAUGAAAUGUUUUUCUAUAUAAAACUCACAUUUAACUCAUUUUCAUGAUUUACCCAACCCAAACCAUUUAAUUUGGUUUGGGUUUGGGUAACCUAUGGGUUGGGGGUUUAUGCCCACCCCUAGUGCUAAUUAUAUGUUCCGUGUCGUAUUUAAUUUUUUUUUGGUUUAGAGUCGGUCCAACACACAUGCCGUACUAUGCCUAAGAAAAAAGGCAUAAUAAGCUUUUUUUUCAUUUUUUUAAGAGGGCAUGUCAAAUUGUUGGCGUACUUUUUUCAAGCUUAUGUAAUUUUUUUUUGUCCAUUUGCCUUUCGUCAAUUUCAAUAGAAUUAAAAAUUUAAAACUCAAAUCUAUAUUAAAUAAUAAUAAACUAAUAAUAGUAAAAAAAUUUAACACUAAUUACUAACCGUACGGUAUUAGAAUUCUUUUUUAACACUUAAAAACAACAAGAAGAAUAAUAAAUUUUUAUUUAAGGGUUAACUUAAUUGUUAACUUGCACUUACAUAGAGUCAUAAAUCAUUAUCCAUAAUAACAUUAAUACAUAUUUAUAAAAUCAUGAUAUUCAUAAUUUUAUUUAUUAAAAUAAUGAUAUCAAU